GACGAACGCUGGCGGCGUGCUUAACACAUGCAAGUCGAACGGAAAGGCCCUGCUUUUGUGGGGUGCUCGAGUGGCGAACGGGUGAGUAACACGUGAGUAACCUGCCCUUGACUUUGGGAUAACUUCAGGAAACUGGGGCUAAUACCGGAUAGGAGCUCCUGCUGCAUGGUGGGGGUUGGAAAGUUUCGGCGGUUGGGGAUGGACUCGCGGCUUAUCAGCUUGUUGGUGGGGUAGUGGCUUACCAAGGCUUUGACGGGUAGCCGGCCUGGGAGGGUGACCGGCCACAAUGGGACUAAGAUACGGACCAGACUCCUACGGGAGGCAGCAGUGGGGAAUCUUGCCCAGUGGGCGGGCGUCUGAGGAAGCAACGCCGCGUGCGGGAUGACGGCCUUCGGGUUGUAAACCGCUUUCGCCUGUGACGAAGCGUGAGUGACGGUAAUGGGUAAAGAAGCACCGGCUAACUACGUG
rnacentral:rRNA from 1 species